rnacentral:rRNA from 1 species
AAAGAUUAAGCCAUGCAUGUCUAAGUAUAAACAAAUUUAUACAGUGAAACUGCGAAUGGCUCAUUAAAUCAGUUAUAAUUUAUUUGAUAUUCACUUACUACUUGGAUAACCGUGGUAAUUCUAGAGCUAAUACAUGCGUACAUAACCUCGACUUCUGGAAGAGGUGCACUUAUUAGAUAAAAAGCCAACGCGGGCAACCGCUUGUAUGGUGAUUCAUAAUAAUUAAGCGAAUCGCAUGGCCUUGUGCCGGCGAUGAUGCAUUCAAAUUUCUGCCCUAUCAAGUUUCGAUGGUAGGUUAGUGGCCUACCAUGCUUUUAACGGGUAACGGGGAAUUAGGGUUCGAUUCCGGAGAGGGAGCCUGAGAAACGGCUACCACAUCCAAGGAAGGCAGCAGGCGCGCAAAUUACCCAAUCCCGACACGGGGAGGUAGUGACAAUAAAUAACAAUACAGGGCCUUUACGGGUCUUGUAAUUGGAAUGAGUACAAUUUAAAUCCCUUAACGAGGAACAAUUGGAGGGCAAGUCUGGUGCCAGCAGCCGCGGUAAUUCCAGCUCCAAUAGCGUAUAUUAAAGUUGUUGCAGUUAAAAAGCUCGUAGUUGAAUUUUGGCCUUGGGUGGUUUGGUUUGGCCUUCAUUGGUCAAUGCCUUUUCCGCCUAGGUCUUACCUUCUGGGUUAGCUAGUGUCGCUUCGGUGGCGCUAGUGAACCAGAACUUUUACUUUGAAAAAAUUGGAGUGUUUAAAGCAGGCUUUCAAGCUUGAACAUAUUAGCAUGGAAUAAUGAAAUAGGACUUUGGCCUUAUUUCGUUGGUUUCUAAAGCCAAAGUAAUGAUGAAUAGGGAUAGUUGGGGACAUUAGUAUUCAAUUGUCAGAGGUGAAAUUCUUGGAUUUAUUGAAGACUAACUUCUGCGAAAGCAUUUGUCAAGGAUGUUUUCAUUAAUCAAGAACGAAAGUUAGGGGAUCGAAGACGAUCAGAUACCGUCGUAGUCUUAACCAUAAACUAUGCCGACUAAGGAUCGGACGGUGUUAUAUUUUAUAUUGACCCGUUCGGCAUUUCAGCGAAAGCCAAGUUUUUGGGUUCCGGGGGGAGUAUGGUCGCAAGGCUGAAACUUAAAGGAAUUGACGGAAGGGCACCACCAGGAGUGGAGCCUGCGGCU